rnacentral:lncRNA from 1 species
GGAAAUGACAUCAUCAGUUUGUUUGCAUUGAAUAUUGACAUCUAUUUAAAUGUUAUACUUGGUGGGCGAGUUAAUCGUCAAUCAUCCAGUCGGUAUUCCUAUCGGCAACAUAUCCACGCUCUCGCCUGCUUUUUGGGCGAACGUGCCAUAAUUAUAAUGUCUGCAUGUCUAAUUGAUGUUUUAUGACAGAUUUGACUGCUGCAAUCCCAUAGAACUUGUAAUAAAUGGUACCACAGUUACACCUAGGGCUGAUUCAUAAUUGGCUUGAUGUUGCAGCUACAAAUUCUCAAUAAGGAUCAGUUGACAGCACACAACACAGCCUUGAUUUCCUCUCAUUGUGAAUUCUAAUCUAUGUAGCAGUGUUCAAACAGCGCCUGCGUUGCAGUUUUUAUCUCCAUACCGAUACUUUACCAUAACCAAUCCGUUUCUCAUGACGUAAAGACUUUCAACAAAUAAGUGUAGAAAACAUUUUGACGGAGUUAAAAUUAAAAAAAAUCAAUAUGAAGAUGAUAUAGAUAUAGGCAUAUCACACUUGUUCUACUUGAGAUGACAUUGCAAUUGCUUGCAAUUUAUGAAUUUCUUGGAUGAAACACUUGUAUGUUAUCUGCUCUUUGGUCGGAUAGUUGUCUCUUUGACACAUUCCCCAUUUCCAUUCUCAAUUUUAAACUAAAGAUUAAAAAAUGUUUGGCUUUGGUUGUAUUCAGAAUGAGAACUGCUUCUAUUAUUUAUUUUUUCGAAGCAAUUUGCAUUAAAUGAAAUGAAAAAUAUAGAAAUAUGUGUUAAUUAUUUAAAGACUAGAGAUAAAAGAUCAAUCAUCU